GAUCAUGGCUCAGAUUGAACGCUGGCGGCAGGCCUAACACAUGCAAGUCGAGCGGCAGCACAGAGAAACUUGUUUCUCGGGUGGCGAGCGGCGGACGGGUGAGUAAUGCCUGGGAAAUUGCCCUGAUGUGGGGGAUAACCAUUGGAAACGAUGGCUAAUACCGCAUGAUGCCUACGGGCCAAAGAGGGGGACCUUCGGGCCUCUCGCGUCAGGAUAUGCCCAGGUGGGAUUAGCUAGUUGGUGAGGUAAGGGCUCACCAAGGCGACGAUCCCUAGCUGGUCUGAGAGGAUGAUCAGCCACACUGGAACUGAGACACGGUCCAGACUCCUACGGGAGGCAGCAGUGGGGAAUAUUGCACAAUGGGCGCAAGCCUGAUGCAGCCAUGCCGCGUGUGUGAAGAAGGCCUUCGGGUUGUAAAGCACUUUCAGUUGUGAGGAAGGUGGUGUUGUGAAUAGCAGCAUCAUUUGACGUUAGCAACAGAAGAAGCACCGGCUAACUCCGUGCCAGCAGCCGCGGUAAUACGGAGGGU
rnacentral:rRNA from 1 species